AGCGAAGCUUGCUCGCGAAGGUGUGUCAGUCGACAUCACAGUGACUGACACACCUUCGCGAGCAAGCUUCACU
rnacentral:misc_RNA from 1 species